UGUAUAGCAAUAGCUACUAGCAUCAUAGUAAAUAUGAUGUAAGAUCGACUAUGUUGAAUAAAAUUCUAGGUAGAAUUAUGAUAAUGACAUUAUCUGCCUAUGUGUCUUGACCAAAUUACGUGCCAGCAGUCGCGGUAAUACGUAGAAGACUAGUGUUAUUCAUGUUUAAUCGGUUUAAAGGGUACCUAGACGGUAAAUCAAGCCUAAUAAGAAAGAAUGGAAGGGACUAAUUUACUAGAGUUACUUAUGAGGGGGCUAUAAUGUACAGCUGGUGUAGAGAUGAAAUUCUAUCAUACCUAUUUUCAAUAGAAAAAAUGAAGGCACAGGUAUAGGCGAAAGCAUCUCCUUAUGUGAUAACUGACGUUGAGGGACGAAGGCUUUGUGUAGCGAACAGGAUUAGAUACCCCAGUAGUCUUAGCAGAAAAUGAUGAAUGUCAUAGAUUAGAUAUAUAAGUUUAUUCUAUAAAUGAAAGUGUAAGCAUUCCACCUCAAGAGUAAUUUGGCAACAUUGGAACUGAAAUCAUUAGACCGUUUCUGAAACCAGUAGUGAAGUAUGUUGUUUAAUUUGAUAAUCCGCAAAAAACCUUACCACAAUUUGAAUAUUUAUAUCUUUUAUUGUUUUUCUUUUUAACUAUUUCUAAUUUUCUACUUAAAAGAAAACAAUAACAAGAAAAAAGAGGCAAUAAGAUAUAUUUACAAGCGUUGCACGGUUGUCUUCAGUUAAUGUCGUGAGACUAUGGUUAGUUCCAUUAAAUUAACGUAAACCCUUACUUUAUUUUUAUAUAAAGUAGUUCCCCGCUAUAUUGGAUAUGAUAACAGGGACUAAGAC
rnacentral:rRNA from 1 species